rnacentral:rRNA from 1 species
GACUACAUGAAGCCGGAAUCGCUAGUAAUCGCGGAUCAGAAUGCCGCGGUGAAUACGUUCCCGGGUCUUGUACACACCGCCCGUCACACCAUGGGAGUCGGGAAUGCCCGAAGUCAGUGACCCAACCCGAAGGGAGGGAGCUGCCGAAGGCAGGCCUGGUGACUGGGGUGAAGUCGUAACAAGGUAGC